AGAGAGCGGCGUACGGGUGCGGAACACGUGUGCAACCUACCUUUAUCAGGGGGAUAGCCUUUCGAAAGGAAGAUUAAUACCCCAUAAUAUAUUGAAUGGCAUCAUUUAAUAUUGAAAACUCCGGUGGAUAGAGAUGGGCACGCGCAAGAUUAGAUAGUUGGUAGGGUAACGGCCUACCAAGUCAGUGAUCUUUAGGGGGCCUGAGAGGGUGAUCCCCCACACUGGUACUGAGACACGGACCAGACUCCUACGGGAGGCAGCAGUGAGGAAUAUUGGACAAUGGGUGAGAGCCUGAUCCAGCCAUCCCGCGUGAAGGACGACGGCCCUAUGGGUUGUAAACUUCUUUUGUAUAGGGAUAAACCUACUCUCGUGAGAGUAGCUGAAGGUACUAUACGAAUAAGCACCGGCUAACUCCGUGCCAGCAGCCGCGGUAAUACGGAGGGUGCAAGCGUUAUCCGGAUUUAUUGGGUUUAAAGGGUCCGUAGGCGGGCUUGUAAGUCAGUGGUGAAAUCUCAUAGCUUAACUAUGAAACUGCCAUUGAUACUGCAGGUCUUGAGUAAAGUAGAAGUGGCUGGAAUAAGUAGUGUAGCGGUGAAAUGCAUAGAUAUUACUUAGAACACCAAUUGCGAAGGCAGGUCACUAUGUUUUAACUGACGCUGAUGGACGAAAGCGUGGGGAGCGAACAGGAUUAGAUACCCUGGUAGUCCACGCCGUAAACGAUGCUAACUCGUUUUUGGGCUUUCGGGUUCAGAGACUAAGCGAAAGUGAUAAGUUAGCCACCUGGGGAGUACGUUCGCAAGAAUGAAACUCAAAGGAAUUGACGGGGGCCCGCACAAGCGGUGGAUUAUGUGGUUUAAUUCGAUGAUACGCGAGGAACCUUACCAAGGCUUAAAUGGGAAUUGACAGGUUUAGAAAUAGACUUUUCUUCGGACAAUUUUCAAGGUGCUGCAUGGUUGUCGUCAGCUCGUGCCGUGAGGUGUUAGGUUAAGUCCUGCAACGAGCGCAACCCCUGUCACUAGUUGCCAUCAUUCAGUUGGGGACUCUAGUGAGACUGCCUACGCAAGUAGAGAGGAAGGUGGGGAUGACGUCAAAUCAUCACGGCCCUUACGCCUUGGGCCACACACGUAAUACAAUGGCCGGUACAGAGGGCAGCUACCUAGCGAUAGGAUGCGAAUCUCGAAAGCCGGUCUCAGUUCGGAUUGGAGUCUGCAACUCGACUCUAUGAAGCUGGAAUCGCUAGUAAUCGCAUAUCAGCCAUGAUGCGGUGAAUACGUUCCCGGGCCUUGUACACACCGCCCGUC
rnacentral:rRNA from 1 species